GACGAACGAUGGCGGCGUGCUUAACACAUGCAAGUCGAACGGAAAGGCCCCUUUGGGGGUACUCGAGUGGCGAACGGGUGAGUAACACGUGAGUAACCUGCCCUUGACUUCGGGAUAACUUCAGGAAACUGGGGCUAAUACCGGAUAGGAAUCCUUGCUGCAUGGUGGGGGUUGGAAAGCUUCGGCGGUUUUGGAUGGACUCGCGGCUUAUCAGCUUGUUGGUGGGGUAGUGGCUUACCAAGGCUUUGACGGGUAGCCGGCCUGAGAGGGCGACCGGCCACAUUGGGACUGAGAUACGGCCCAGACGCCUACGGGAGGCAGCAGUGGGGAAUAUUGCACAAUGGGCGGAAGCCUGAUGCAGCAACGCCGCGUGCGGGAUGACGGCCUUCGGGUUGUAAACCGCUUUCAGCAGGGGCGAAGCUUGUGGUGACGGUACCUGCAGAAGAAGCACCGGCUAACUACGUG
rnacentral:rRNA from 1 species